GUCUCCAGUAGCUCAGUGGUAGAGCGUCCGACCAGUGUGCAGAAGGUCAUAGGUUCGACUCCUGUUGGGGAACU
rnacentral:tRNA from 1 species